ACCAAGGCGACGAUCGCUAGCUGGUCUGAGAGGAUGAUCAGCCACACUGGGACUGAGACACGGCCCAGACUCCUACGGGAGGCAGCAGUGGGGAAUAUUGGACAAUGGGCGCAAGCCUGAUCCAGCAAUGCCGCGUGUGUGAAGAAGGCCUUCGGGUUGUAAAGCACUUUUAUCAGGAGCGAAAUACCACGGGUCAAUACCCUGUGGGGCUGACGGUACCUGAGGAAUAAGCACCGGCUAACUUCGUGCCAGCAGCCGCGGUAAUACGAAGGGUGCAAGCGUUAAUCGGAAUUACUGGGCGUAAAGGGUGCGUAGGCGGUU
rnacentral:rRNA from 1 species